CUGACUUCCUACGCCUUUCUGUCUGACGAUGUUCUCUGGAGACUGCAGAAAUUCCUGAAAAUUUAAGGACAGGCUCUCAUGAGCCGGCACGAGCUAGCUCAGCACACCGCUGACUCUGCGCCACCUCUAGUGACUUCAUCCAGUCUUUGCAAUCUGGCUCUCAUUGCUGGGAAAGAUUUUUCUCAGCCUGUACCAAAGAAAGAAAACCAGAGGCUCUAAGUAGUGAUUAUUUCAGAGGGAUGGACUUAAAGCUGCUCAAAGCUCAGGAGAUGAUAAAGAGGAGAGUGAAGGUCCCAGGGACACAGGAAAAUGGUCUAAGGCCGAGAGUCCAACUGCACCAUUCCAGAUUUGACCCGCACAACACUACCGGAUUAGUCAGUGAAUGGGCAGAUGACUCAAUCAGAGCCAACUCUGAAACGACUGGGGAAAAAAGCAAGUCAUCUUCCUGGUUGGCCUUGAACCUGGCAGGAUAAGAUGCUGCAGCUGCUUCACUCAAGUAGCGCCUGAGAAUAAAGCCAAGAGAAGGCAGAUGUAAGAGUGGAAAAAAACAAAAUCUUGUUGUCAUUGUUUGGGUCCUGAAUCCAGCCUUGUCUAAAGCCAGUACACCCCUAAACUUUUCG
rnacentral:lncRNA from 1 species